GCUUCUUCUAUAUAAAAGUUGUUUAACUAAUUGGUCAAACGCCUUGAUUUGAGAAAAAAGUACUUUUUUCUCAAAAAAAAAGCCUCCCAAUCACUAGGCCAACCAGGGUCUUCUAUGUUAUGGCUAUAGGCAAAAUAUUGAGGCAACCCAUGUUGUGGUGUCCGACAUGCCUUAAUAUCUGCUCUAUUUUUAGGCAUUUGCACUUAUAGAUCCCGGAUCUACACAUGCAUGUCUCUCUACUUUGCAUCUUAUUUAGAGAGGGAUCUCAAAUUCUUAGAUUAGUCUUUAGUUGCGACUCAAAUAGGGGAGUCUAUAGUCGUAGAUUAGGUUUACCAGGAUUGUGCAGUCUCGGGGUAGGGAAGGACCACGAUCCAUUUCAUUGUAUAAAAAAAUGAUUAAUUUUGAUGAUAUCAUGAGCAUGGAUUGACUAGCAUCAUGUCCUACUACACUUAAUUAUCACGUCAAAAUUGUAAGUUUGUAAUUCCAAUGGAAGUGUGUCAAGAGUAAGAAGGCAAGACAACUACAAUUAACAACAAGAGGAUAUCUUUCAUGAUGGGUAAGAAAGGGCUGUUUGGGCUUCAUUAUUGUAGUUCUGGACACCCAAGCGGAGGGAAUUAUGCUUGACAGUGCCAGUAAUAAGUGAGUAUCCAGAAUGUUUGGAUGGUUAUGCUUGACUGUGCCAGUAAUAAGUGAGUAUCCAGAGUGUUUGGAUGGCUUACCGGGCUACCUUCGAUGUGAGAAUUUUUUGAGUUAUGUGUGGACAUUUACCCAAGAUAAGGGUCUAUUUCAAUUCCAUAUAUCAUAUGGCACCAACAGAGUUGAAACAGCUAAGGGGCUGUUUGGUAGCUGGUUAAGGUUCAAGCUAAUACAUAAAUAACUUGGUCAUUCAGGCACCAGUAACUGGAUUAAAGUCCCAGGACUAUGCUAGUAAUGCAAUCAAACAAGAGCAAGUUGCUUAGGAAGAAAGGAGAAUAAGAUAUACAACAUAAGUAGAAGAAAAUCAUAUUAAAUUGUGUGC
rnacentral:lncRNA from 1 species